GACAGAGGGUGCGAACGUUGUUCGGAAUUACUGGGCGUAAAGCGCAUGUAGGCGGCAGCGCAAGUCGGGCGUGAAAUCCCACGGCUCAACCGUGGAAGUGCACUCGAAACUGCGCAGCUAGAGUCCUGGAGAGGAAGGUGGAAUGCUUGGUGUAGAGGUGAAAUUCGUAGAUAUCAAGCGGAACACCGGUGGCGAAGGCGGCCUUCUGGGACAGUGGACUGACGC
rnacentral:rRNA from 1 species